UUGAAUGUGAUCUUGUAAGGGUAACGUUCCACAAGGAGCAUGUUCCACAUGGAGAGGAGUGCUUGAUGAAACCGUGUGCUUAUGAUAUAUGGAUAGGAUUUUAUUAUUACUUAAGUGACAGGUGCUGGGAAAACAUCUCAUGAAGACACAGCAGCUUUUUAUUCUAAUUUUAUUGUUUGAGAAGACAAUAUCAAGUGAAAGGUCAAUUACAGGGUGGGGCAGAAGCUCCAGCUGA
rnacentral:lncRNA from 1 species